rnacentral:tRNA from 1 species
GGAGAGCUGUCCGAGUGGCCGAAGGAGCAUGAUUGGAAAUCAUGUAGGCUGUUUGCGCGGCCUCGAGGGUUCGAAUCCCUCGCUCUCCGCCA